AUACAAAACCCAAUGCCCUUCGGGGCUCUCUUGGUGAUUCAUGAUAACUUCUCGAAUCGCACGGCCCCGCGCCGGCGAUGGUUCAUUCAAAUUUCUUCCCUAUCAACUUUCGAUGCUACGGUAUUGUCCUAGCAUGGUUGCAACGGGUGACGGAGGGUUAGGGCUCGACCCCGGAGAAGGAGCCUGAGAAACGGCUACUACAUCCAAGGAAGGCAGCAGGCGCGCAAAUUACCCAAUCCCGAUACGGGGAGGUAGUGACAAUAAAUACUGAUACGGGGCACUUUUGGGUCUCGUAAUUGGAAUGAGAACAAUUUAAAUCCCUUAACGAGGAACAAUUGGAGGGCAAGUCUGGUGCCAGCAGCCGCGGUAAUUCCAGCUCCAAUAGCGUAUAUUAAAGUUGUUGUGGUUAAAAAGCUCGUAGUUGAACCUUGGGCCUGGCUGGCCGGUCCGCCUCACCGCGUGUACUGGUCCGGCCGGGCCUUUCCCUCUGUGGAACCCUAUGCCCUUCACUGGGUGUARCCU
rnacentral:rRNA from 1 species